rnacentral:tRNA from 1 species
AAUUUUGUACUUUAUUUCAAAAGUUUUGAUUUGCAUUCAAAGAAAGGAAGGUUUUCCCAAAGUUG